rnacentral:rRNA from 1 species
GAUCCUGGCUCAGGAUGAACGCUAGCGACAGGCUUAACACAUGCAAGUCGAGGGGCAGCACGAUGUAGCAUACAUUGGUGGCGACCGGCGCACGGGUGAGUAACGCGUAUGCAACCUACCUAUCAGAGGGGGAAUAACCCGGGCGAAAGUCGGACUAAUACCGCAUAAAACAGGGGUUCCACAUGGAAAUAUUUGUUAAAGAAUUAUCGCUGAUAGAUGGGCAUGCGUUCCAUUAGAUUAG